rnacentral:rRNA from 1 species
CCCUCCUCCGCGGUCCGAGUUGUAAUUUGCAGAGGAUGCUUCGGGUGCGGUCCCCGUCUAAGUACCCUGGAAUGGGUCGUCAUAGAGGGUGAGAAUCCCGUCUGGGACGGGUGGCCGUGUCCGUGUGAAGCUCCUUCGACGAGUCGAGUUGUUUGGGAAUGCAGCUCUUAAUGGGUGGUAAAUUUCAUCUAAAGCUUAAUAUUGGCCGGAGACCGAUAGCGCACAAGUAGAGUGAUCGAAAGAUGAAAAGCACAUUGUAAAGAGAGUUUAACAGCACGUGAAAUUGUUGAAAGGGAAGCGCUUGCGACCAGACUCGCCCGCGGGGGUUCAGCCGGUACUCGUACCGGUGUACUCCCCCGUGGGCGGGCCAGCGUCGGUUUGGGCGGCCGGUCUAAGGCCUCCGGAAUGUAUCGCCUUUCGGGGCGUCUUAUACCCGGGGGUGCAAUGCGGCCAGCCUGGACCGAGGAACGCGCUUCGGCUCGGACGCUGGCGUAAUGGUCGUAAGCGGCCCGUCUUGAAACACGGACCAAGGAGUCUAACAUCUACGCGAGUGUUCGGGUGUCAAUCCCGUCCGCGCAGUGAAAGCGAACGGAAGUGGGAACCCCGUACCGGGUGCACCAUCGACCGAUCCUGAUGUCUUCGGAUGGAUUUGAGUAAGAGCGUAGGUGUUGGGACCCGAAAGAUGGUGAACUAUGCCUGAAUAGGGCGUUA